AGGUCUGAGUCUGCAGGUGGGCGUGUCUGGAGAGCAGGAGCAACAGCCAGCUGCAGCUCAUCUCCAAUCAUCCUCCAGGGUGUAUUUAAGGAGCUGACUUCCUCAACACUCUUGCCGGAUGAUUGCUCAACCUGGGAACCAUCUCCUCCAGCCAUCUCCAAGAACUUCUCAUCAGCUCCACUUCAUUCAGCUCCAACCCCUGGCUGUACGCUCUCCACUACGCCCUUUCCGCCUACCCUUUCAAGCUCACCACACGGGAACUCUGGACCUCGUCUUCAUCAAGACCCCUUUGUAACCCAUCUUCAUAGACCAACUAGUGCUCCUUCGCAUGCCCUCUAGCCACCUCCUGACAAACAUCCUGGCACAUCCUGCAUCAGUUUGAGCAGUGCUUUGAGUUCUCCAUUCUACAAAUAAAUUAUUUUCUUACCUCUCCGUUCCCGUCUCUGAUUCUGCAUGUCGUGGGUCAAAAUACCACAGAACAUGACGGGUUACACCUUUCUUUUAGAGACUAUAUACCCAUGAGUAUUUUGUCCACACUUAGCUGGCUGGGUGGUUCAGAUUUUGGAGACAGAAACAUUUAACUUUUAUUUUGAUUUUCUUCAAGUAACAGAAACCAAUCUUUAAUCAAGACAGAAGUGGGAAUCUGUUGCUCCAUAAAACCCUCAAAGAACUUUGAUAAAUCUUGAAGUAGAUCAAUUUCUACUUAAUAUUUAAAAACAGCAUUGUCUUCACAAAGUGGGUCAGAGUAGUUCUCAUGUUAGCUGGCGUCCCAGAGCCAGUUCCUCUAGUCUGUGUGUGCUUUCAGUUUUAAACAAUCCAAUGACACGAAUCUGGCCAGAUCUGAGUUUGGCUGCUGUGACUCUUGAUAUAUUUACAUGCCAGCCAGUUGUCUCUCACUUUCCUGUUACAGCAACUUAUUUUCUUUAUAAGGUGCACAAGCUUGUAGAAAGCCAUCCUGCUCAGGAAACAAACCAAUGUUAAAAUGAGAUGCUGAUUUAUUUCAACCUCUAAGACAGGAGCAUCUUGAGGCCAUUUAUGAACAUAACAUAACAUGACUUGAUAUGACAUAAAUAACA